ensembl:ncRNA T04F8.11 ncRNA
CACCCCGCGAAAACCGAGUCGCAUGAUGACAGAUGGUCUUGCUGGACAUAAAGGAUGUGAUACCAAAUUCUUGACGCAAACUGUGUCAUUGUCGUUUAAAGGGAAAAUUGGAGAAAUUGGAAGAACAUGA